ACUCUCAUCUCCUCGUUUCAGGCUUGGGUGAGUUAUUGAGAGGAGGCGCGUGAUUUCCAAAUUGAAGCCGGAUAAAAGUAUCAGGCUUUGCUAAUUCUUAGCAAGAAAGUUAUGUAUCACAACAAAUGAUACGAUAAAUGCUCUCUGGCUGCCUCUCUACUAAGGCAGCUAGAGGUUCAAGGUGCCCCAUUUCCCCAUUUGAGCAUCUGACCACUAAAACAUCUGUGCACGCCACUGGUCUUUAUUCAACAUCAGCUUCAGAUUUCCAGUUUCUGCUCUGUUUUUUGUCGGUAUGUUUGGAUGGAAGGAGGAUCCAUGUAUCUCCCUGUCCAGUCCACGGACAGGAGUCGCAUAAGGUCUUUUGUGUUGCGAGCGUAACUUGAGUGGCAUUUCAGCUGAAG